rnacentral:tRNA from 1 species
GCCCUGGUGGUGCAAUGGUUAAACACUUGGCUGCUAACCAAAAGGUUGGUGGUUUGAACCUACCCAGUGGCU